rnacentral:rRNA from 1 species
CAAUAGCGUAUAUUAAAGUUGUUGCGGUUAAAAAGCUCGUAGUUGGAUUUCUGCUGAGGACGACCGGUCCGCCCUCUGGGUGAGUAUCUGGCUUGGCCUUGGCAUCUUCUUGGAGAACGUAGCUGCACUUGACUGUGUGGUGCGGUAUCCAGGACUUUUACUUUGAGGAAAUUUAGAGUGUUUCAAGCAGGCACACGCCUUGAAUACAUUAGCAUGGAAUAAUAAGAUAGGACCUUGGUUCUAUUUUGUUGGUUUCUAGAGCUGAGGUAAUGAUUAAUAGGGAUAGUUGGGGGCAUUCGUAUUUAACUGUCAGAGGUGAAAUUCUUGGGAUUUGUUAAAAUGUAGCUGGACUUAACUGGCGAAAGCAUUUGCCAAGGAUGAUUUUCAUUUGCAUCAAGAACGAAAU